rnacentral:lncRNA from 1 species
CCGAAGCUGCCGGGGCCUCCCAAGCCUUCACCCUGGCAGGGCUCGCGCCCCCGGCCCGCCCCGCCUGGCACCGAGCCUCGGGGCUGGGGCCGAGCAACGAGCACCAGAUGGGCAGGCCCGAGAACGAGCACCAGGUGGGCCAGCCCGAGAACGAGCACCGGGUGGGCCGGCACGAGAACGAACACCAAGGGAGCCGGCCUGGAGCUCUGCCCCUGAGCCCCCGCCCCGCCCGAAGAGAAACACUCCGUCCCAAGGUCUCCGCCCCCAAGGUCAGCCAUCAGGAAGGGGGGGGGGAUUUGAGUCUGCUGUACCAGACAC